rnacentral:misc_RNA from 1 species
AAAACACAAGAUACUCUCAGUAGCUCAGAGUCCGCUGGCAGUUCGUUGGCAGUUGAUGCGAAGAAUGUGUCUGAUGUCCCUGAUAUGGAUUCUGUUGCUAACGAGGAAGAUGGUGUUGAUAAAUCUGAGUUUGAUGAUUGGGAGGACGCAGCGGAUAUGUCUACUCCUAAAUUGGAAACAUCAGAAAAUGGACCAAAGCUUGGUGAUGGAAAUGAAGCUAUGAGUAAAAAGUACUCUAGAGACUUUCUAUUAACUUUUGCAGAGCAAUGUACUGAG